AAAGACACAAACAGAGGCAGUGAUUUAAAUGCAACUGUGAAACAAGAAAAGCACUCAGAGAGCGCAGUACUUGGCCAAGACUGCUCAGUCGUCGGAUCACUUCCGACAGAUGAAAUUUUUAAUAAAAAUUUACCUUGGGCUGAACACAGUUGUGUGUUGUGCAUGUUUACAUUGUGUACAGAUACCGAAUUGCAUGACGUAAAUGUAAAUGUAGCGAGCACCAGGAAUUGAUGGGACUCGGGCACCCUCACAAUUUAAUCAACUGCCUUCCGACGGAUAAUUCCCGAUAAGCGCCGCGGUCCAUUUUGUUGGCGUGUUGGCGAGGCGAAUGUUAGGAUCGGUUCCUAUAGGAACACCCGACGGGGGACACAUCGGGCGAAAUCACAAGACGAACACUGUUCGCGCAACAUCGUCCGACGCGGGGUGGGGCCGAAUAUUCGGAUCUCAAAAUUAAUAUCCGGAUACCAUCAUCACAACCAGAUAUCUGGAUAUUUGGGUCCAGCCCUAAAGAUCGCAUCACUCUCUUUCGUUAUUCUGGUAUUUAGCAAACGGAGAUCAUUUUGGCAAUCCUCAAUGACCUAAAACAGGAGAAGCGUCAUUUGAUUUGAUGUUAGACAUUGCUAAAAAAAACAAACAAUGUUUUCGUGUCAUUUUAUACAGUGUAAGUAAACUUCUGGUUUCAACUGUCUGAAUUUCUGGAGAAGGAAAAAGGCCUGCAAACUUACGAUCCCCAGAAGUGUUAUUAUCUUCCAAAGAAAACACUGAUCCUUUCCUUCCUGAACACCUGGCUUGAAAAACAAGACUUUUCCUGAGUUACUUAUUGUUAUGACGGAUUCUUGAGAUGUUAUUGAGGAAACACACAGGAAACAAUGAAGACUCAUAUCUCAAAAAAUAUUCACUUAAGAAUAUUUAGUGAGCACUGGAUAAUCAACAAUGCAUGCAUGCAGAUUCUCCUUUGAUCUAGCUCACAACAGUUAUCUAAGUAAAGUCCUGCAUGCAGCUCUUCACAAAGAUGAGAAUGCCUGUCGUAACACUAUACAGAAGUUUUUAAACGGAGAUCUGCGAAUAUCUGAUUGGCCUAAGUUAAGGAAGUUUUGCUGGAUGUCUUCUGUCUUCAUCCUGUAAUCAGAGUACUUGUGUGUGUGUGUGUGUGUGUGUGUGUGUGUGUGUGUGUGUGUGUGUGUGUGUGUGUGUGUGUGUGUGUGUGUGUUCUUGUACUUGCUGCAUUGUGAGGACCAUCUUCAUUUAACUAUCAAAGUGAGGACAUUUUUACAAAGUGAGGACAUUUUGGCCGGUCCUCACUUUGAAACAGCCAUGUUUGAGGGUGAAGACUUGUUUUUAGAGAACAGGUAUGAAUUGAGGUUUGGUUAGGGUUAGGGUAAGGAUUAGGGUUAGGCGAUCAGUUGUGAUGGUUAAGGUUAGGGUAAGGCUCUAGGAAAUGCAUUACGCCUAUGGAUGUCCUCACUAAGAUAGAAGUACAAACAUGUGUGUGUGUGUGUGUGUGUGUGUGUGUGUGUGUGUGUGUGUGUGUGUGUGUGUGUUUUAGGU